UCUACCAUCUGGAAUACUUGA
rnacentral:siRNA from 1 species